AUGGUUCCUCGGUUCGUUUUUGGCUUGACUGGUGGUGCGGAGACUCUCCUCUCUCUCAUUUGGCGUUCUCAUGUGCCUCCAAAAAUCAAAAUCUACCUCUGGCAGGCCUUUAGAGGCCGUCUUCCCGCGGCUGAUCAAAUUCGUAAGAGGAAUGGACCGGGCUCGGAAUUUUGUGCUCUCUGUGGUGACUUGGAGGACACAAAUCAUAUUUUCUUCCAUUGUGUGCUUGCUAAACUAGUUUGGAGUUGUGUCAGAUCCUGGCUUCAGGUCACUUGGGAUCCCUCCUCCUUUAAUGAGCUGAGAGGCCUUGCCAAUUCGUUGGCUGGUGUGACAAAGAGGGUCUUCUGGUGGAUAUUAUUGACUAAGGUGGAGGACCGGGAUGCUCUUGAUCUGCUCAUAUCUAAAGUUCGGGCCUCGGUGUCGUCUCUUUCUGGGCAGGAUCCUGAUGUCUGA
rnacentral:rRNA from 1 species